rnacentral:tRNA from 1 species
CGGUGAUUAGCGCAGUCCGGUAGCGCAUCUGGUUUGGGACCAGAGGGUCGUAGGUUCGAAUCCUACAUCACCGACCA